rnacentral:rRNA from 1 species
CCUACGGGCGGCUGCAGUCGAGAAUCAUUCACAAUGGGGGAAACCCUGAUGGUGCGACGCCGCGUGGGGGAAUGAAGGUCUUCGGAUUGUAAACCCCUGUCAUGUGGGAGCAAAUUAAAAAGAUAGUACCACAAGAGGAAGAGACGGCUAACUCUGUGCCAGCAGCCGCGGUAAUACAGAGGUCUCAAGCGUUGUUCGGAAUCACUGGGCGUAAGGCGUGCGUAGGCUGUUUCGUAAGUCGUGUGUGAAAGGCGCGGGCUCAACCCGCGGACGGCACAUGAUACUGCGAGACUAGAGUAAUGGAGGGGGAACCGGAAUGCUCGGUGUAGCAGUGAAAUGCGUAGAUAUCGAGAGGAACACUCGUGGCGAAGGCGGGUUCCUGGACAUUAACUGACGCUGAGGCACGAAGGCCAGGGGAGCGAAAGGGAUUAGAUACCCCGGUAGUC